UCCUCGAAAUAUCUUUAUUUUUGCAUAGCCCAUGCCUCUAAUGCAAUAAUACUUUGGAAGAGUGAAUCUUUCUGAAUAAUGUCUUGAUCUUAGGAGCAUGAUAAAUCUCUCAACAAUGGUCUAACUCAUUUUGAACAAACUCAAUACAGAGUAGAUAGCUUUUAUAAUCAUAAUUAAUAUUUUCAGUUUUAGUAGGCAUAU
rnacentral:lncRNA from 1 species